rnacentral:rRNA from 1 species
AAUCUGCCUUGUUGUGGGGGAUAACGUAGGGAAACUUACGCUAAUACCGCAUAAGACCUUAGGGUGAAAGCGGAGGACCUUCGGGCUUCGCGCGACAAGAUGAGCCGAUGUCGGAUUAGCUAGUUGGCGGGGUAAAGGCCCACCAAGGCGACGAUCCGUAGCUGGUCUGAGAGGAUGAUCAGCCACACUGGAACUGAGACACGGUCCAGACUCCUACGGGAGGCAGCAGUGGGGAAUAUUGGACAAUGGGCGCAAGCCUGAUCCAGCCAUGCCGCGUGUGU